UUUGUGAAAGUACAGGUACCGAGCUGUCUUUCAUAAGUGCAUAAUUAACUAUACAUAGGAUUAGUCGCCGAGCCGUCCGUCAUUCCAGUGUUCCAGACUUCAAUUUAAUUGCCGCACUGCUGCCUCGGCUCCUCAUAUGCUUCAGUGCUUACAGCUUGCCAUUCUUCAGAGUAGUCAAGUGAGUGCACUGUGCACGGCCACACUGGUACGAGGAAGCGGGCACAAGGGUCAAGGGACAAGAAGAGAUCAAGAGAAGGAGCUCGAUCGGCGACACAGCCGGCCGCCGGAUGGUGGGUGGGUUUAACUAGCUAAGCACUGCUGCUUCUUCAAUAUUCAGAGUUUCAGACUCCAGUCGCGUCUGUGGUCUGCUCGCCUCGCCGCUCCGUCUGCUUGACCUCGCCGCUCCGUCUGCUUGACCUCGCCGCUCCGUCUGCUCACGGCUC
rnacentral:lncRNA from 1 species